rnacentral:rRNA from 1 species
AACGAACGUUAGCGGCGCGCCUAAGACAUGCAAGUCGAGCGAGAAAGGGAUUCGUCCCCGGUAAAGCGGCGCACGGGUGAGUAACACGUAGGUCAUCAACCCUCGAGUGGUGGAUAACUCUCCGAAAGGAGAGCUAAUACAGCAUGAUGCUAGCAAUAGCCAAAGCGGGCCUCUUCAUGAAAGCUCGCGCUAGAGGAGGAGCAGGCGGCCCAUCAGGUAGUUGGCGGAGUAACAGCCCACCAAGCCAAAGACGGGUAGCUGGUCUGAGAGGAUGAACAGCCACACUGGAACUGAGACACGGUCCAGACUCCUACGGGAGGCAGCAGUCGGGAAUCUUCCGCAAUGGGCGAAAGCCUGACGGAGCGACGCCGCGUGAGUGAUGAAGGCCUUCGGGUUGUAAAGCUCUGUGGGGAGAGAAGAAUAAGUGCAGGCUAAUACUCUGCAUGAUGACGGUAUCUCCUUAGCAAGCACCGGCUAACUCUGUGCCAGCAGCCGCGGUAA